UCAUCCUCCAAACUCUCUGAUCUGUCAGCAGCCAUCUCACUUUCCAAGUUACAAGACCAUUCUGAGCACACACUGACAACAUGCUGGGGACGCUCUGCACUCUCAUCACUGCUCUAACAUGUGUGAGUGGUGUGACGGUGGUGACACAGAAGCCUCCUGUUGUGACAGUGAGGAAAGGAGAGACAGCCACCAUGGACUGUAACCUGGGGACUGUUACUAACAGUGCAGCUCGCUGGUAUAAACAGACUCCAGGAAGAGUUCCUCAGUUUGUACUGAGGUUUUAUCACAGUGAUAGCUCUCCAACCUAUGGCUCUGGUUUCUCUUCUCCAAAGUUCAUAUCUACUCAUCAGUCUACAUCAGAUUAUCGUUUGACCAUCAAC